UGUGUUUGAUAUCGUAACAUUUGUGCUUUAGAAAAAAAAAAGGAAAGAAGGAACACAUACAUUGGCUUAUACACUGUAUAUUACAAAGGAUUCAAAAGCAACAGGUAACAUCAGCUAGGAAGAAAAGGAACUGCAUACCCAGGGGACAAAAGUGAGAAAAGACUUCACUACAUAUCCAUUUACACUUUUGAAAAUGUGUGGUGAACUGUGGAAAAUGUGAGUGUAUUACACUUAUUUGAUGUUGUAAGAAAAAAUUAAAAUGCCUCUCUAAUAUUACACCCUUUCCCCCUGUGCAGCCUUCAAAACACACUGGAAGAGGAAAGCAAAUGUGUUUAUUCUGCCUCACCCCAUUCUCCAAAAAGAAAUGGGAAACUUCUUUUUCUGAUGAGAAGAUGACCACCAUUUUAUGAUAACCUGAUUUAAUAUUUUGCAAAACCGCUAAUUCUUCCUUGAAAACUAGCCAUACAGACGUCUGAUUCUACUUCCUGUCAAUCAAGAAAAGAAACAUCACAAG
rnacentral:lncRNA from 1 species